rnacentral:lncRNA from 1 species
GUAAGCAGCUUCGCCUCCUUCUCCGGGUUUGCUUUGCUGCUCCCCUCCUCCUCCCUUGGGAACUGAGUUUCCAGAAUCUGUCAUUUAUGGUAUUGAUAGAACCUAACCAGACUAACAGUGAUGGAAGAUUUCCAGCAAGGGUCCUUCACAACCGCCCCCCACCCCGGCUCUGUUCAGCACUUUAUCAGUGACUUAGAAGAAGACACAGAAGACAGGCUGGUUGGGCUUGUGACUGACCACACUGAGGUGCUGAUGCUGGUGGCUGACAGACGCAAGACUCAGAAUAAUCGCCAGCUUGGGAGACUCAGCCAAAACCAACAAGGAGACAUUUAAAAAACUGUUAUGAAAACAUCAUAACAUUACAGGAGACAAAACAGGAAAAAAAAAAGUACACACCUAAGAGAGGACUGUCUGGGUCGGAUGUCUCUAAGCGUCAGGAAUCCGAGUGGAGCUUAGCCGGUGUGGCUGGCAGCAUUGGCCCAUCCGAGCUUGAGGCCGCUUUGGAGUAGUGCUGGAUACGGGAAAACUGGAGAGAAGAAGGAAGAAAAGAGAAGAGGGCUGGAAAAGGGGACAGAAGGAAAAAUGAGUUAAGGGACUGGAAAGAAUCAGUGUUCGGAAGAAGGCAGUUGUUGCUAAACCACUUUUCAGGCUGUACUUCUGCUGGACGGAGGAGCUUCAAUCGUCUUGAUCAACGUGCCUGUAUCAGGCUUUGAACAGGAGCUAUAGAUAUGUUAGUUCAUUUACUCAAUCCUGCAACAGUCCCACCUUCCAGAUUUAGAAACUGAGAUCUGAAAAGUUAAGUAAGACUUGGCCAAGGCCAUAUACCCGAGAUGGAUUUCCUCCCCCAGAACCUGUGACCUUUCACGGUGGUACCCGAGUAUAUUCCUGUGUUACUCUGCUUCCGACUCUGCCUCACAGCAUCCUUUGCCUCCUGGGUCCGUGAGACCUCUUCUAGGAAGUUCCAGUGGACAGUAAGAAAGACAGAUCCUCUGGUCUCCCUGGUCUCUAGUUAUGGCAGCCUGCGUUCUCUUUGAAGACUGAGCUGUGUUACGGAACUCCCUCCUCCCCCGACUCUAACAGGCUUAGUGCCUCAAUCAGUGAAAGGACAGUAGGUCUCUGCUUCUGGCCGCCUCCGUGAAUGAUUUCUGCCCUGUAGUGGAAGAGUCACUGGUGGCUCUGCCCGAGAUGUCCUCUACCUGGUCAGCAUCCUCUGAUGUAACACCCCUAGACACAGUGAAUCUUGGAUAUGAAGCUGCUUCGAGUUUGAGCUUCACGUAGUGAAUGGUUUGGGCAGGUCCACUGUCCCUCCAGCCUCAGUUCCUUCAGCUGUUGAACUGAGGGGGAAGAGGUGGCUGAAUUAGUGGUUCUUUCUCCACGGAAGUGAAGACUGCGAAGUAUGCUCCGGUCCGUAGGAGCUCUAGGCAUUGUCUAUGGAUUAAAUAGUUUGUCCGUCUUGCGUAUAUACACGUGACUACAUUUCAAAUGUGUGUAAAGCUGUGUGAG